rnacentral:sRNA from 1 species
AUGCCCACUUUUGGGGACCUUCAUUUAAGUGAGGUGCCACGUCCGGAGGAGGGCAGCAGGAAUGAAAGACCUCUAGUUUUCCAGACUCCCGGAGCCCUGGUCUCUACGCCACAUGGACGUUAUCCACCUCCUCUGUGUCCUCCCAAGGCAGCAUUUCAGAAGGUGAUCCACGGCAAAGCGGUCCCUUCAAAUCCGUCUUUGUACCCACUGCCAUAGUCAACCCCGUGAGGAGCACAGCUGGCCCCGGGACUUUAGGACAAGGGUCUCUUCGGAAAGGGCGGAGCAGCAUGAGAAAGAGUAAGUGGUGGCAGAGAGCAAGUCAAAACCGUGAGAUUUCAGAAUUACAGCCCUCCUCCCACCAAACAUUACACUUCCCAUCCCACCUCCGGAAAGCCUGAACAGCCAGCCACCCUCAAGGCAUCCCAGCCUGAAGCAGCAUCCUUGGGCCCAGAGAUGACCUUCCUAUUUGCCCACCGAAGCGGCUGCCACUCCGGACAGCAGACAGACCUCCGGAGAAAGUCAGCUCUUGGCAAGGCCACAACCCUGGUGUCCACUGCCUCAGCCACGCAGACCAUGUUUCCCAGCAAAUGAACCUACGGGUGGCUUUUCCUAGACCCCAAAGAGGUGAAUUGCAUUUAAAUACAGUCUGCCUCCACUGAGGGCAUCCUGCC